rnacentral:rRNA from 1 species
AUACGCGAGAAACCUUACCAGGGCUUAAAUGUAAGUUGCAUAGAUCAGAGAUGGUCUUUUCUUCGGACUACUUACAAGGUGUUGCAUGGCUGUCG